GCGGCGAAAUUUACUUCUUCUUUUUUCAUCGAAAAUAAAUGCGCCAUGUUUUGACGUUUAUUUUAUCCUGAAGGAGUAAAAGAGACAAAGCAACAAUUUGCAAUUUCGAAAUAUUGUUUCUUGCUCUUACUUAUUAUUACAUUCCACAUUUGGCAUUUCGAAGAUUUUGGUUGGUUGGUCAUUAGUUCGAGUUUUCCUGGUUUUUCUUUCUCCUCGAAGUUCGGAAGCGCGAGUGGAAAAACGGUUGCAGCAGCAGCAGGAAAUCAAGGAUUGUCUUUGGGGACUGCAGCGACAACAUCUAUGCAGGAAGCGAUAGAUUAUUUUCAUUUAUCAUCACGUAGUUUAUGCUAUAAUCCGCGCCAGCUCAGUGCAAUGUCGAAGCGGCACUUCCACCAGAAACAUUUUGAAUGAUUGCAUGCGGCACAUCGUGGGCUUCAAUUAUUUGUCCUAAUAAUAUCGACGAAGAUCAAAGAUUGUACGGUCAACCGGACCAGCAGGAGGAUCAAUCUGGAUGAUGACAUGGGCGAGAACAUGGAGGAAGAAGCUGCACAAAGUGAUGAUUCUGCCAUUUCUCGGGCGGUGGUUUUACACGAGGACAAACGCUACUAUCUGGAGGUAUACGGAGAAGAAGUUGACACCAUCGUGCUAGAUAAACCUCUAAUUGGAGUAAACAAAUCGUACCCUCUAUCCACAAUCCAGUUUAGGAGUCCGGAAAUAUAUGUAUUCUGAGAUCUA